rnacentral:sRNA from 1 species
CUUCCCGGCCACCUGCACAGAGCCUGCACUCACUCCUUGUGUGCCCUCUAGGAUGGCGGCUCCCUGGACCAGGUGCUGAAAGAGGCCAAGAGGAUUCCCGAGGAGAUCCUGGGGAAAGUCAGCAUCGCGGUUCUCCGGGGCUUGGCGUACCUCCGAGAGAAGCACCAGAUCAUGCACCGAGAUGUGAAGCCCUCCAACAUCCUCGUGAACUCUAGAGGGGAGAUCAAGCUGUGUGACUUUGGGGUGAGCGGCCAGCUCAUCGACUCCAUGGCCAACUCCUUCGUGGGCACGCGCUCCUACAUGGCUGUGAGUCCCCCCUAGCUCUCCCCUCCAGCUCUCCGCCCCAGCUCUCCCCACCAGCGCUCCUCCCCGCUGCUCUCCCCCAAGCUCUCCCCACCCAGCUCUCCCCGCCAGCUCUCCCCCCCAGCUCUCCCCCUCAGCUCUCCCCCUCAGCUCUCCCCCCCAGUUCUCCUGCGCAGCUGUCCUUGCCUCCCACAAGGCUUUCCCAACUAUUUCGUGGGCACGCGCUCCUACAUGGCUGUUAGCACCCCCGGGACAGUCCCACCCCAGCCGCACCCUCCCCUCCGUCAGCUCUCCCCAUUUGCCACAAGGCACGUCUAAAGCUGAUGCCUCCUGGGAGCCUGCUUUUCGGAUUGCCCUUGCUUUUUAUUUUUUAUUUGUUUAUUUAUUAAUCUUUUGUAGACACGGGAUCUCGCUGUAUUGCCCAGGCUGCUCAUGAACUCCUGGGCUCAAGUCACCCUCUUGCCUCAGCCUCGCAAAGUGCUGGGAUUCCACUAGCAGUGAGCCUGAGCCACCGCACCCGGCCAGAUCUCCCCUUCCUGUUGAAAUUCUCUUGUAGGUUUUUGUCUCUAGCAAUGCCUACCAGGUUUCU